UGUGAUACCAUCACUAAGCAGCAACUCAUGACCAGAAUGAAAGCCAGUCGCUUGACUAUGCCAUAGGAAAACACAUGUGGCUGGAUUCCUUCAAAGCCUCACUGCUAGAGAACGGCUAUCAUUGGACAUGCCUUAGGAUUCUCUGGAACACCUUCCUUUAACUCUGAGCCUGCCUGGGGUGGUGAAACAGGAACCUUCCUCAAAUAUAAGAAAAAAGGUAUGUGUGGUUUUGAAUGGAUUCACUGAUGGCCCCUGGCCAUUCAGUUGAAGAUCAGAGAAACUCGUGAAGAACAUGAUGUGACAGCCCCAGUAGGAACUCCUAUACUUAAGAUACAACAGAAGUCAAGCAUGAUGCCCAGUGACUGUUGACACUUGCUCUGUAUGUGUUGGGAACACCGUUGGAUGGAUGGUGACAGAGACACUUUAGACCACACAAACCCUAUCUAAAUGAGGCAGCUGGCUUUUCCUUAUCCCAAGCAUUAAUACCAGAUUUCAAAAAAGACAUCACAAUGGGGAAAUCUACAGAGACAACUGAACCAAGCUUUUGGGAACUCACAAACUCUAGACCAACAGCUGUGGAGCCUGCAUGGGAUCGAACUAGGCCCUCCGCAUAUGGGAGACAGUUGUGUAGCUUGGUCUGUUUGAGAAGCCCCCUGGCAGUGGGACCAGAAUCUAUCCCUGGUGCAUGAGCUGGCUUUUUGGAGCCCAUUCCCUAUGGAUUCCCUGAGGUUGGCCCAGUUCUUGGCUGUGGAUCUCUGUACCUGUUUCCAUCAGUCACUGGAAGAAGUCUCUCUGAUGACAAAUGGGGAAAUUACCAAUUUGAUUACAGGAGAAGGCCAGUUCAGGAUAUAUAUCUACUAUUGCUAGGAGUCUUAGCUGGGGUCACCCUUGUAGAUUAGUGGGAGUUUGCCUUGAAGUAGGUUUCUGCCUGACCCCAAAAUAUGCCCCCAUCAAGAUGUCUCUUUAAUUACUCUUCGCCUCCACCCACUCCCUAACCCAAUCACUCAUGUUCCCAUCCCUGCCGGCUCCCAGUCUACCCAGAAGAUCUCUUCUAUUUCCCCUUCCCAGGGAAAUCCAUGCAUCUUUAUCCCCCCUCUGAACCCUACUUGUUAACUAGCCUCUCUGGGGCUGUGGAUAGUAGCAUGUUUAUCCUUUACUUUAUAACUAAUAUCCACUUAUGAGUGAGUACAUUCCAUGUUAGUCUUUCUGGAUCUGGGACACCUUACUCAAUAUGUUUUUUUCUAGUUCCAUCUAUUUGCCUUCAAAUUUCUUGAUGUCAUUGUUUUUAGCAGCUGAGUAACAUUCCAUUGUAUAAAUGUACCACAUUUUCUUUAUCCAUUCUUUGGUUCAGGGGCAUCUAGGUUGUUUCCAGAUUCUGGCUAUUAUGAAUAAUGCUGCUAUGAACAUAGCUGAGCAAGUGUCCUUGUGGAAUGAUUGAGCAUCCUUUGAGUAUAUGCCCAAGAAUAGUAUAGCUGGAUCUUGAGGUAGAUCAAUUCCCAAUUUUCUGAGAAACUGCCAUACUGAUUUCCAAAGUAGCUGUACAAGUUUGCACUCCCACCAACAAUGGAGGAGUGUUCCCCUUACUCCACAUCCAUACCAGUAUAAUAAGCUGUCAUUAGUGCUGUUACUGUCUUAUGUAUUGAACAAGGUAGUGAUUACACAAGUGGGACUAUCUUGUUAUAUUUGUUGAACAGUGUGCUUAUGAUGUGUGGAUUUACAGAUAUAUAAAGUUCUACAUUUGAAAAAUACAUCAAGAAUGAAGGAUUAUAAAAGGCAUUUCAGAGGUUGGGCAGAUGGAUCAGUAGUUAAGAGUGCUUACUCUAUAAGUAUGAGGACCUGAGUUCAAUUCUCCAGCACUUACAUUAAAAAAGUUGGGCAUGUCUAUAAUCUCAGCACUGUGGGAGGCAGAGAGAAAAGAAUCUCUUGGACUUGCUGUCAUCCAACCAAGCUCUGGAUUCAGUGAGAGACCCUAACUGAAGGGAAUAAGGGAGAGUGAUAGAGCAGGAUACACAAUUGCCUCUCCUAGUCCCUAACACACACACACACACACACACACACACACACACACACACACACACACACACACACACAGAGAGAGAGAGAGAGAGAGAGAGAGAGAUAGAUAGAGAGAGAGAGAGAGAGAGAGUCAGUCCUCCCUCCUAGUGGCUAACAAUUGACAAUAGUUCCUUGGCUAAGGGUAAGACUUCAUGCUCAACAUUCUUCUCUAUGCUGGGAUUUAGUCUGACUUGGGCUUGACAGGUCUUGUGCAUACUGUCACGAUUGUGAGUUUAUAUAUGCAGCUACAAGUCCAGAAGACACUGUUUCCUUUUAGUCAUCCAUCGCCUCUGUCACUUAUAUUUUUUUAUGCCCCAUCUUCUGUAAUGAUCCCUGAGACUUUGGAGGAAGAAGUGAUGAUGAUGAUGAUGAUGAUGAUGAUGAUGAUGAUGAUGUGUGUGUGUGUUUGCUUUAGGGACAAACAUUCUGAAGUCUCUUAUUCUUUUAUUCUUGGCCAGGUGUGGGUCUCUACAGCAAUCAUCAUCUACUUCAAAUAGUUUUUCUAAUGAGAGUUGAGAAAUGUACUCACCUAUUGAUUAAUUUUAAUUGCGUGCUAUGUUUUAGUGUGAAUUUUACCAUUUAAAUUCUUCGUAUGCAUGAAAAUACAUAUAGUCUGGAAAUGACUUUCUUUUCUAAAACAUAUGUAAAUGUGAAUCUGUUUAUUUUUAAGUAGAGCAUGUGUAAAUUCACAAGAACAUGAUGCAUAAAGAAACAGAAAAAUGUCAAAGUGGUGACAGUGUAUUGGAAGACUUGGUCAUUUAAAUUUUCAGAAAUUUUCUCUACCUUUUAGAAAUUUACAACUUUUCUAUCAUAAGCAAUAAUGUAUUUUUAAGUGUUGAUUUCCUCCAUUUUCAUAGUAAAUAAUAAAACAUUAAAGAUAAUAUUUAAAAUAAGACUCCAUAAUCUGAUUAACCUAACACCAAUAUUAUAAUACUGUUCUCCUCACAUUCCUCAACUGCAUAGAUAAGGACAGAAAUGAUAUGAUCAUAUCUCUAAGCUUAUGAGUAAUGUAUUAAUAAAAUAGAAAAUGCAAGGUGUAAAAGGGCUUA